AAUUUGGGAAAAUGGGGGAAACCCUGAUCCAGUCAUCCCGUGUGUAUGAAGAAUGCCUUCGGGUAGUAAAGUACUUUUGGCAGAGAAGAAAAGGUAUCUCCUAAUACGAGAUACUGCUGACGGUAUCUGCAGAAUAAGCAUCUGCUAACUACGUGCAAGCAGCCGCGGUAAUACGUAGGUUGCAAGCGUUAAUCGGAAUUACUGGGCGUAAAGCGUGUUUAGGCGGUUAGGAAAGAAAGAUGUGAAAUCCCAGGGCUCAACCUUGGAACUGCAUUUUUAACUGCCGAGCUAGAGUAUGUCAGAGGUGGGUAGAAUUCCACGUGUAGCAGUGAAAUGCGUAGAUAUGUGGAGGAAUACCGAUGGCGAAGGCAGCCCCCUGGGAUAAUACUGACGCUCAGACACGAAAGCGUGGGGAGCAAACA
rnacentral:rRNA from 1 species